ACCAAUCUACAUUGGUUGAUGCUAUGGUCUAGUAGCGGAAUCCGGUAAGCUAGAAAAGAAAAAGGUUCGGCGCAACCUCGUUGGAGCAAGAAGCUUGGAGGGCUUAGGUACAUCGGGUAGAUUAGGCUUGGAGGGUCUAUUGCUGUUCAUGUAUCCCAACUACAUUUUCUAGUGGAUUAUUGACCACUUGGAGGGCGGCGGAGAGGUUUUACGCCGAGGGCUUCGGUUUCCUCUUCGAUAACACAUCGUGUGUUGUCCUUGUGUUUGCAUCUCUCUUCCCUUUAUCUUUGCCUUUUAUUUUCUGCUAUGGAUGUGAUUUAUAAUUGGCUUAGAUUGAUUUCCAAUUCUGUUUAUAGCUUAUGUUAAGUUUCCGCA